GAAGCUCGCCAGACCGCCGCUGGUGCAAUCUCCGAAAGGAAGCACUGGAGGAACGUCCGGACUGCACAGGACAGCGUAGGAGGUAACUCCUCUCCACCGUGAGGUGAGGAUCAGAGCAACAGAGACGAGCCGAUUGAGUUCGGGUGAAACGGGCAAUCUCUACGCGCAGCAAUACCAAGUAGGCCAACGUUGAUGUGGUUCCGCAGAGUUGGCGGGUAGGUAGCAUUGAGCCGGGUGGGCAACCCCCGGCCCAGAUUAAUGGCGGUCACGCAGCGGGCAACCGUUGUGCACAGAAUCCGGCUUAUCGGCGAGCUUCACAC
rnacentral:RNase_P_RNA from 1 species